rnacentral:rRNA from 1 species
UACGGAGGGGGCUAGCGUUGUUCGGAAUUACUGGGCGUAAAGCGCGUGUAGGCGGGUCUUUAAGUCGAGGGGUGAAAUCCUGGAGCUCAACUCCAGAACUGCCUUUGAUACUGGACGAUCUUGAGUUCGGGAGAGGUGAGUGGAACUGCGAGUGUAGAGGUGAAAUUCGUAGAUAUUCGCAAGAACACCAGUGGCGAAGGCGGCUCACUGGCCCGAUACUGACGCUGAGGUGCGAAAGCGUGGGGAGCAAACAGG